AUUUUCAUGAAAAAUCCUCUGAGAUGUUGACUGGAAUUGUAUUCCAUUUCAAUCUGGGAAAAACUGAUAUCUUUAUAACACUGAGUAUUUUCAUCCAUGAACAUGGUAUAUCUCUCCAUUUUUAAAAGAUAUUUAAAAUGUUUUUAGUGUGGUUUUCUUUUCUUUUUUUCUUUUCUUUUUUUUUUUUUGGUCUUUUGUCUUUUUAGGGCUGCACCCACGACUUAUGGAGGUUCUCAGGCUAGGGGCCUACACCACAGCCACAGCAAUGCCAGAUCUGAGCUGCAUCUGCAACCUACACCACAGCUCACGACAAUUCCAGAUCCUUAACCCAUUGAGCAAGGCCAGGGAUGGAAUCCGAAACCUCAUGGUUCCUAGUCAGAUUUGUUUCUGCUGAGCCAAGAUGGGAAAUCCUAGAGUGGUUUUCUACAUACAGUUUUCUACUCAAAACUUGUUAGAGUUUUUUUUUUUAUUACUCAAAUGAAUUUAUCACACCUGUAGUUGUAUAAUGAUCAUAACAAUCUGAUUUCACAGGAUUUCCAUCCCACAGCCCAAGCACAUCCCCCACCCCCCAAAACUGUCUCCUCUGGAGACCAUAUAACUUGUUAGGUUUAUUUCUAGGUAGCUGAUGACUUUUGAAUGAUAUUGCAAAGACAACUAAAACAUUUAUUUUCUAAUUGUAAGACUACAGAGCUUUUAACCAAGUCUUUCCUGUCAUCAGAGGCCUGCGAGCACCAGUGCAGAGAAGACAGGGACUGUGGGAGUGGACAUCAGUGCGUGAGGAAGGGCUGUGGGCACGUCUGCGCCCCCGUCCAUCAAGUCGAUGUAGGUAUCUGUGUGAUGGAGUGCCGUGUAGACCAGGACUGUGGGGAAGGAAGACUAUGCAUCAGUAAUGGGUGUGGCCGUGUCUGCUUCCCAGGGCGAAGAGAGGGCUGCGAGCACCAGUGCAGAGAAGACAGGGACUGUGGGAGUGGACAUCAGUGCGUGAGGAAGGGCUGUGGGCACGUCUGUGCCCCCGUCCAUCAAGUCGAUGUAGGUAUCUGUGUGACGGAGUGCAAGGUAGACCAGGACUGUGGGGAAGGAAGACGAUGCACCAGCAAUGGAUGUGGCCGUGUCUGCUCCCCAGUCCAGCAAAAAGAGGCCUGCGAGCACCAGUGCAGAGAAGACAGGGACUGUGGGAGUGGACAUCAGUGCGUGAGGAAGGGCUGUGGGCACGUCUGUGCCCCCGUCCAUCAAGUCGAUGUAGGUAUCUGUGUGACGGAGUGCCGUGUAGACCAGGACUGUGGGGAAGGAAGACAAUGCACCAGCAAUGGAUGUGGCCGUGUCUGCUCCCCAGCCCAGCAAAGAGAGGCCUGCGAGCACCAAUGCAGAGAAGACAAGGACUGUGGGAGUGGACAUCAGUGCGUGAGGAAGGGCUGUGGGCACGUCUGCUCCCCCAUCCCUCAAGUAGGUAUCUGUGUGACGGAGUGCAAUGUAGACCAGGACUGUGGGGCAGGAAGACGAUGCACCAGCAAUGGAUGUGGCCGGGUCUGCUCCCCACCCCAGGGAGGAGGACUCUGUGUGGACCGCUGCCGAGGAAACUGGGACUGUGGGGCCGGAGAAGAAUGUAUCAGGAAGGGAUGUGGACGGGUCUGCUCUCCAGCCCAGGAGCCAGUGGUAGGUAUCUGUGUGGAUCAGUGCCAAAGACACUGGGAAUGUGGUCCACGGAUGCGGUGUGUCUCCACUGGAUGUGGCCACAUCUGCUCACCAGCCCAAGACCAAGUUGAACAGAGACCCGGAAAAUGUCCAGUGUUGCCAAAAGGAACGUAUGGACUUUGUGCUGAAUUUUGCUCCGGGGAUGACUCCUGUCCCAGCGGACAGAAGUGCUGCAGCAAUGGUUGUGGACACUCUUGCCAGACUGCUGUUCCAGACGAGAAAACCUUCCCUAGCCGUUUGGAUGACUGAUGAACCUUGGCCUCCUUCCAUAAUUGUUCCCACAUGUCACCUUUAUUUGAAGAGGUGGGCUUUUCCAGGAACCCCACCUUUGCCAGGAACCCCAGGAUCAUGGGGUGAGGUUCUAGAAUAACUUGGCUUAAGGGUUGAAUUCUGGCAAUUGUUUAAGGAAUAGUGCUUGCAAAGGAUCCUUCUUCUGAAUAAAACGACUUCUCUGGCAUUAUCCAACCUGGGUCGUUAUUUCUGGGUAAGGUUUCUGGUUCACUUACCUUAGUAGCUCCACCUCCACAAGUAUUUAACUCCGGUUCUCUCUCUCUUUCAUCACCAUUCCCACUCAUGACCCUUCUUGCUUCCUUUCUCCUGGGAACACUAAGCAGCCCAGGCACUCAACACUGCCUGGGAAUUUAACCUCAUUUCCCUGUGAAAAUUCACUCUCCCCAUAACCAAGAUGGCCAUUUCCUAGUUCGCUUUCUUCAAAGCGCCAUCUCAUGCACCUUUCACUCCAGCCUCCACCGUUCAAGUCUCACCACCUAUCUCACCACAUCCUUCAUUGAGAAAAUGGGUGCAAGUCAACACAAAUUCCCUCCUCUUCUGUCCCCCUGUAUUUGUACCCAUUGACUCUGCUUCCUCCCCCGUAAUAGUGGAAAAGACACAACCUACUCCUACUUAAGUCCAGCCCCUCCACUUACAUUCUGGAUAGCAUGCCUUUGCCUUCCUCUCCAAUCACAGCCUUCGCUUCCCUUAAUUAUCACCUCCAGGAACAGAGACACCUCCCCUGUUACCAGAUCACCCCACCCGACAUACACCUGUGCCUUGACUGCAUGUUGCAAUCUAGCGACCACCCACUCCACAGCUGGAAUUCCAGCUAUCAGUGUCUGUCUGUAUUGACUUCUCUGCUUCCUGGCCACUGCCUCCCACGCUGCCUAUUCUCUCCUCACAGAGCACGCUUCCCUCUUCCCUGUGGUUGGCUCCAAACCCCAUUCCCCCCUCAUUCCAGGACUCUAACCAAGCUUCCCCGGGUCUACCCCACACACCAAAACUUGGAUAAUGCCCGGGGUCUACCCCACAUACCGAAACUUGGAUAAGGCCACCCAUGCAUUAACACCUCCUGAACGUCUCCUCCUACUGAGACCCUCUGAGCAGGACACAAGGAAUGGAAAGCUAGCACGCCCCAAACGGAGAGCUCUCAGGACAUAGUAGAGGAGCUGAGGGCCCCUGAUCUGGAGGACGAUGCCCAACAGAGUGGCAAUUAAAUUGCGGUUCUUUUCGUGGUACCAAAGCUCCGUAAACGUUGUAAAGGUAAGAACAGCCUCUUGCCUUUAGGAACUGAAAACCCAACUAAGGGAAAGGAUCCAUUUACAGCAGUAGGAAAAUAUGUUGAUAUAUUGCUACAUGUGAGCUAUUUUCCCCACAUUACUUCCUUAUCCGUACAUCAGCCGCACGAGUUGAGGAGGCUGAGCUUGCAGCUUUUUGAUUUUUUUCUUUUUCCUCUUUUGGCGGCAUGUGUGGCAUGGGGAAGUUCCUAGGCCAGGGACUGAACCCGUGCCACAGCAGCCACCUGAGGCAUGGCAGUGACAACACUGGAUCCUCAACCUGCUACACCACCAGGGAACUCCAGAGCCUCCAAUGCCUGAUGAGGAAACCUAAAGAAAUUCAUUGUCAAGGUCACACGGCCCGGUUGUGGUUGAACCUGCAUUUAAAUAGAGCUUGGUGACUCCAAAACGUCCUCUUUUUCUUAUACUACCUCCAAAAAUAAAAACACAGGAUAUAUACCUAGACAUUUAACUCCAGCUAUAUCACUUUGUAAGCUCUGUACUCACUCCUCUCCCACAGUGGGAAGCAAUUGACCCUGAAGGGUUUCCUAAUACUUGGUUAGUGAGUUGUUACAGAUCUGGCUUAACAUUUGGGCAACCAGGAGCUUGAAAGACCUGGAUCAGGGAGUUCCCUUUGUGGCUCAGCAGUGAACAAACCCGACUAGGAUCCAUGAGGGUUUGAUCCUCGCCCUCGCUCAGUGGAUUAAGGACCCAACCUUGCUGUGAACAGUGGUGUAGGCUGCAGAGGUCUCUUGGAUCCCGUGUUGCUGUGGCUGUAGUGUAGGCUGGCAGCUGGGGCUCUGAUUCAACCCCUAGCCUGGGAACUUCCCUAAAAAGCAAAACAAAAUGAAAAGGAACACCUGGAUCAACUACAGAGUCUCUGUGCCGAGCUGAUUUAACAGCCCCUAAAAGAGAGGCCAUGGGUGCUGGGUGGUCCCGAAACUUGCAGAGAUAAAGAGGAACCCUCUAAGGUUGGGUUGUGAGAAUAGCACCAUCUCACCUUGAGUGGACUGCUGUCCCCCAGAGUCUAACAGCUACACGACGCUGCCUGGGGAAGCAGCUGCUUUCUGGCCAGUGCAUUUGGAUCUGUGCAAUAAAGAGUUACAUGUGGCCCAGAGAUCUGUACUUGUUUCCGGCUAGUCCAACUCCAAAAUGCCUGUCCGCCUUACCCCUUUUCUCCUCUUCACUGCACUUCACUUUCUCAGUCUCAUGCUGAGUCCCAGGACUCACGGAUAUUCCCCCUCCGAUGCCAGAAAAAUGCACAGUGGGGUCACGCCAAAGCCCUGGAGCCUCGCCAGCGUGUCAUGUCAGGAAAGAGUGAAAUUACAUCUGAAUUACAGCAUAGGCUGA
rnacentral:lncRNA from 1 species